rnacentral:lncRNA from 1 species
UUUUUUUUUUUUUUAAUUUGACACCCAAAGCAAAAGCAACACAAGCAAAAAUACACAUCAAACUCAAAAGCUUCUGUAUAGCAAAGGAAACCAUCAACAGAAUGAAAAGGCAGCCUACUGAAUGGGAGAAAAUAUUUGCAAGUCAUAUAUCUAAAAAUAUAUUUAAAAACUCAUAUAACUCAGUAACAAAAAUACCCCCACAAAAUCUGAUUUAAAAGUGGGCAGACGAUCUGAAUAAACAUUUUAAUAAGUUUUUUUUUUCCAAGGAAAACAUACAGAUUGCCAACAAGUAGACAAACAGGUACGCAACAUUACCAAUUAUCAGGUAAAUGCAAAUCAAAACCACAGGAUAUAAACUCACACCUAUUAAAAUGAGUAUCAUCAAAAAGACAAGAAAUAUCAAGCAUAGGUGAGGAUGUAGAAAAAAGGGAACACUUGUAUAUUGGUGAUGGGAAUGUAAAUUGGUGCAACCAUCAUGGAAAAUAGUGCAGAGGUCCCUCCAAAUAUUAAAAAUAGAACUAUCGUAUGAUCCAGCAUUUCCUCUUCUGGGUGUUUAUCCAAAGGCAAUGAAAUUGUUAGCUUGAGAAGAUGCAUGCACCGUCAUGUUCACUGCAGUGUUGUUAACGACAGCCCAUAUAUGGAAACACACAAUGGAAUAUUACUCAGCCAUUAAAAGGAAAGAAAUAAUAGCAUUUGCGGCAACAUGGAUGCACCUAGAAAUUAUCAUGCUAAGUGAAGUCAGUCAGACAAUGAGACACCACCAUCAAAUGCUAUCAUGGACUUACAAGUGGAAUCUAAAAAAAGGACAAAAUGAACUUCGCAGAAGAGAUACUGACUCACAGACUUUGAAAAACUUAUGGUUUCCAAAUGAGACAGGUUGGGGGGUUGGGAGGAUGCACUGAGGGUUUGGGAUGGAAAUGCUAUAAAAUUUGGUUGUGAUGAUUGUUGUACAACUAUAAAUGUAAUAAAAUUCAUUGAGUAAUUAAAAAAACAACAGAAAGACACAAAAUUACAAUACCAUUGCAAAAUAGCUGUCUCAAUUCUAAGAAAAUAAAUUCGAAAAUCUGAAAAAAGAAACAAUCUCUGUGUCCAUAAAUAAAUAAAUGGAUAAAGAAAAUGUGGUUUAUACAUAUGGUAAAAUAUUAUUCAUCUAUGAGAAAGAAAUUCUGCCGUUUGCAAAUAACAUGGACCUUGAGGGCAUUAGGAUAGGUGAAAUAAGUCAGAGAAAGACAAAUAUGUGUUAUCACUUGUAAGUGGAAUUUAAAAACAAAAAACUAAAAACACUUAUAGAAACAGAGAACAGAUGGGUGGUUUCUGGGAUUGGGAUGGGGGGAGUGUUAAGAGGUGGGUGAAAAGAAUAAAGGUGAUCAAAAGAUACAAGCUUUUCAUUAUGAGACAAAUAAGUACAGCACGGUGCCUGUAAUUAACCACACUAUAUCGCGUAUUUGAAAGUUGCUAAGCGAGCAGAUCUUAAAUUUUCUCCUCAAAAGAAAAACAAUUUAACUGCGUGAUGAUGGAUGUUUACUAAACUUCUUGGGUUGAUCAUUUUGCAAUGUACGCAUGUCAAAUUAUGAUGCUGUACACAUAUGCAGGGUUAUGUGUCAAUUAUUUCUCAAUUUUAAAAAAUCUGAGCCAGUGCAGAUAAACUGUGAUCUAGAUUAAGUCACAAACAUGGAUUAAAAAAUGUUGGUGUUUAUCCUUUAAAAAAAAAAAAAGAAUGAGUUCUCAAGAUGCUUGCUGUAAAGUGCUGUGUACAUACGCUCUUUCUAUUGUAAAUAGCCUCCUGCAAAGCACUAGAUGGUUUGACAUUAGCGUCAAUGAUUUUUUUUCCCCAAAAUGUCUUGUUCUCUACGUCAUGAGGCCCAGGAUUAUUUUAUGUUUAUUUUAGCACAUUUCUACAGGGUAAGUAAUGUGCUAUUACAACUAAAUUAAAAAGUGGAGUGCUUUUGCACUGACCAUAAUGGUUGUACUUGGCAUAGCUACGAACUUUAAAAAAAAAAAUUAAAAUUAGAGUAUUUUUUCUUCUCUUGUCUCCCUUAAGAAGGCAGUGAAAGGCCGGAAAGCCAUCGUGUUGGAACUGGAAAAUUAAUCACAUCAAAUAUUCUUUUAUACUAAUGAAGCUGUAUGUAAGUCUGGAAGUGGCUUAUAUAAAACAUGUUUACAUUCUUACUCUCCUUUGGUACAAAUGUCAAGAGAAGGAAGCGCAGAAUGACUAUGUCAUGGCUUGCUUUGGGGAAUGUAACACCCUAUGGUUACUUUUGUAAUGAAGACACAAAGCCUGUGAUCAGCAAGGGGGACAGCCAGAGAGGGAAACGCACAGCAACCUAGACUCCUGCUCCUUAUGCAGGUAAACCUCCUAGUGUCUGUAACUGAAUGGGAAGUAUGCUGCCUAGAGAAGAGGGGAAUUGGCUCACAGCAGGUGGGAGAGGAAGAUUCUGGUUUGUGUUUCAGUUUUGAGCUCUUUAUAAGAACCUCAACUGUGCACGCCCUCCUAAAAUAAAACCAAGAAGACUACACGUUCAGUCUACCUCUGGCGACCUGGGGAGAAGUUUUGAAACUUAACUGAAAGCUAAUGGAGAAGAGAGAUUUGAACCAAGAAUAACUCAGCUUACCUUUCUGGAAAAAAAAAAAAAGGAAGAAAUUAAAAAUUGUCCUCAAGGACCUCUCAAACCUCCAUCCUCUCCCGCCAGGUAGCUGCUGCCCCC